ACAUUGGUGAUUCAGUGGUAGAAUUCUCACCUUCCGUGCAGGAGAUCGGGGUUUGAUUCCCGGCCACUGCA
rnacentral:tRNA from 1 species